rnacentral:rRNA from 1 species
AACGUGAGGAACCUGCCCUGGAGACCGGGAUAACUCCCCGAAAGGGGGUGCUAAUACCGGAUGUCCCCAUCGGAUCGCAUGGUCUGAUGUGGAAAUGGAUUCCGCUCCAGGAGGGCCUCGCGGCCUAUCAGCUUGUUGGUGAGGUAACGGCUCACCAAGGCGUCGACGGGUAGCUGGUCUGAGAGGACGAUCAGCCACACUGGGACUGAGACACGGCCCAG